GUGACUUCAGAGAGUUUUCAUCCUGCGAACGUCUUUCCUGUGAACAGUAUAUUGGAAACCUUGAACUUGUUCAGCUGUACAACAAGCUAAUGCAGACUCUUCUGCAGGUAGGAUAUCCUCUGAUAGAAAAAGAGCUGAGAGCUGUUGAUGACCAGCUGAAAGAAGCAGAAGAAAUACACGUGCCAGAUGGCAACCUGCUGGGACUGUAKCAAACAAGUGAAAAUGUCAGUGUGUGAUUUAGAGCAGAGAGUUCAACAAUCAAACGCUAAUGUUAGAGCAGUCCAUCAGGUUAUGAAUGAUUGGAUGGAACAUGUCCUCUUUUUCAGGAAAGGUUAAAAAAGAAGUUUUAUUAAGCCCAGAUGACAAAGAAAGAAUUGCUAAAAGAUACAAAAUGCCACAAGAAGAUAGCUACCAGAUCCAUCAUCUUGUAGAGAUUGACAUCUGUGAAAAUCUCUGUGUCCAGAUGAGCAAGUUUGAAGACUUUAGAAUUUUUGAGAGCUGAUUUAAGUCUGGCUGACUUAGAAGAAUUCAUAAAAUUGACAGAUGCCGGACUUCAAAGAGAGGUGAAUAAGGGAGAUUAUUGUUGGAUGGUGGAAAUCACAGGUCAUCUCUUGGCUGUGAAAGAGAAAUAGCUAUUGCUGAAUUUUUGAACCUUUAAAAGAGAUGCUUAUGCUGUUGGAAAGCUAUGGACAGAAGAUUCCAGACCAAGUUUAUAUCCAUUUAGAGGUAAUCCAACAAAAGUAAUAUUUCAUGUCUGUGUGUGUGCAUAUGGUCCUAAAACAGUAGUACUUGACCUCA
rnacentral:lncRNA from 1 species